GCUGGUCCUGGCCGGGCCCCGUCUGGAAGACUAGUGAUUUUGUUGUUCUCUAGCUGACCGCACGACAACAAAUCCCAGUCUGCCUGACGGUGCCCGGUGUCCUCGUCGGGGGCCGUGC